rnacentral:rRNA from 1 species
GACGAACCGAGCGAACGUUGUUCGGAAUCACUGGGCUUAAAGGGCGCGUAGGCGGGUGCUCAAGUCCGUGGUGAAAUCCUCCGGCUCAACCGGAGAACUGCCUCGGAUACUGGGCGUCUCGAGUGUGGUAGGGGUAUGCGGAACUAUCGGUGGAGCGGUGAAAUGCGUUGAUAUCGAUAGGGACUCCGGUGGCGAAGGCGGCAUACUGGACCACCACUGACGCUGAUGCGCGAAAGCCAGGGGAGCAAACGGG